rnacentral:rRNA from 1 species
UACAGAGGGGGCAAGCGUUGUUCGGAAUUACUGGGCGUAAAGGGCGCGUAGGCGGCCUGUUAAGUCGAACGUGAAAUCCCUGGGCUCAACCCAGGAACUGCGUCCGAUACUGGCAGGCUUGAAUUCGGGAGAGGGAUGUGGAAUUCCAGGUGUAGCGGUGAAAUGCGUAGAUAUCAGGAGGAACACCGAUGGCGAAGGCAGUUCUCUGGGCCGUAACUGACGCUGAGGAGCGAAAGCGUGGGGAGCGAACAGG